rnacentral:rRNA from 1 species
GAUGAACGCUGGCGGCGUGCCUAAUACAUGCAAGUCGAGCGAACAGACGAGGAGCUUGCUCCUCUGACGUUAGCGGCGGACGGGUGAGUAACACGUGGAUAACCUACCUAUAAGACUGGGAUAACUUCGGGAAACCGGAGCUAAUACCGGAUAAUAUAUUGAACCGCAUGGUUCAAUAGUGAAAGACGGUUUUGCUGUCACUUAUAGAUGGAUCCGCGCCGCAUUAGCUAGUUGGUAAGGUAACGGCUUACCAAGGCAACGAUGCGUAGCCGACCUGAGAGGGUGAUCGGCCACACUGGAACUGAGACACGGACCAGGCUCCUGCGGGAGGCAGCAGUAGGGAAUCUUCCGCAAUGGGCGAAAGCCUGACGGAGCAACGCCGCGUGAGUGAUGAAGGUCUUCGGAGCGUAAAACUCUGUUAUUAGGGAAGAACAAAUGUGUAAGUAACUAUGCACGUCUUGACGGUACCUAAUCAGAAAGCCACGGCUAACUACGUG